rnacentral:rRNA from 1 species
UGGGGAAUUUUGGACAAUGGGGGCAACCCUGAUCCAGCCAUGCCGCGUGAGUGAAGAAGGCCUUCGGGUUGUAAAGCUCUUUCAGCCGGGAAGAAAACGCACUCUCUAACAUAGGGUGUGGAUGACGGUACCGGAAGAAGAAGCACCGGCUAACUACGUGCCAGCAGCCGCGGUAAUACGUAGGGUGCGAGCGUUAAUCGGAAUUACUGGGCGUAAAGGGUGCGCAGGCGGUUUUGUAAGACAGAUGUGAAAUCCCCGGGCUUAACCUGGGAACUGCGUUUGUGACUGCAAGGCUAGAGUACGGCAGAGGGGGGUGGAAUUCCGCGUGUAGCAGUGAAAUGCGUAGAUAUGCGGAGGAACACCGAUGGCGAAGGCAACCCCCUGGGCCUGUACUGACGCUCAUGCACGAAAGCGUGGGGAGCAAACAGG